rnacentral:rRNA from 1 species
GAUGAACGCUGGCGGCGUGCCUAAUACAUGCAAGUCGAGCGAAUGGAUUAAGAGCUUGCUCUUAUGAAGUUAGCGGCGGACGGGUAAGUAACACGUGGGUAACCUGCCCAUAAGACUGGGAUAACUCCGGGAAACCGGGGCUAAUACCGGAUAACAUUUUGAACCGCAUGGGUCGAAAUUGAAAGGCGGCUUCGGCUGUCACUUAUGGAUGGACCCGCGUCGCAUUAGCUAGUUGGUGAGGUAACGGCUCACCAAGGCAACGAUGCGUAGCCGACCUGAGAGGGUGAUCGGCCACACUGGGACUGAGACACGGCCCAGACUCCUACGGGAGGCAGCAGUAGGGAAUCUUCCGCAAUGGACGAAAGUCUGACGGAGCAACGCCGCGUGAGUGAUGAAGGCUUUCGGGUCGUAAAACUCUGUUGUUAGGGGAGAACAAGUGCUAGUUGAAUAAGCUGGCACCUUGACGGUACCUAACCAGAAAGCCACGGCUAACUACGUGCCAGCAGCCGCAGUAA